AGAGUUUGAUCCUGGCUCAGAUUGAACGCUGGCGGAAUGCUUUACACAUGCAAGUCGGGCGGCAGCGCGGGGGCAACCCUGGCGGCGAGCGGCGAACGGGUGGGUAACAUAUCGGAACGUGCCCAGUAAUGGGGGAUAACACAUCGAAAGAUGUGCUAAUACCGCAUACGCCCUGAGGGGGAAAGCGGGGGAUCGCAAGACCUCGCGUUAUUGGAGCGGCCGAUAUCGGAUUAGCUAGUUGGUGGGGUAAAGGCCUACCAAGGCGACGAUCCGUAGCUGGUCUGAGAGGAUGAUCAGCCACACUGGGACUGAGACACGGCCCAGACUCCUACGGGAGGCAGCAGUGGGGAAUUUUGGACAAUGGGGGCAACCCUGAUCCAGCCAUUCCGCGUGAGUGAAGAAGGCCUUCGGGUUGUAAAGCUCUUUCGGCAGGAACGAAACGGUGGGGGCUAAU
rnacentral:rRNA from 1 species